AGUGCAACAGCUUCAACAGGAGAGACUGACGGACUCCCUACAUCAGACUAUCCCAUGGCCCAAUGGCUACAGCACUCACCUGAAAGGGGAAAGCUUGCUGAGCUCCAAGAUGGAAAGGAGCGCGUGUCCACGGAAGAGUGAAACAAGCACAAUGGUGAUUCUCCCUGGGUUGUAAAGGACAGUCUUAUCAGCAAGAGCUCAAGUUCCAUCACUGUCACUUGUGAUUAUUAGAACAGAAAGCCCCAUAUCUUUGUCAGAUGGUCAUCUCCUGUGUACUUCAUCUCUGGAAUGAAAAUGAGAGAUGUUCAUUAGGAAAGUUCAUGAGAAACAGCAGAAUUGCAUCAUCCUUAAUACAACACUGACCAGAGCUUACAGGUGCAGUAUCAACAAACAUGCUAGUCUCCUGGUAAAA